GACGAACGCUGGCGGCGUGCUUAACACAUGCAAGUCGAACGGAAAGGCCCUGCUUUUGUGGGGUGCUCGAGUGGCGAACGGGUGAGUAACACGUGAGUAACCUGCCCUUGACUUUGGGAUAACUUCAGGAAACUGGGGCUAAUACCGGAUAGGAGCUCCUGCUGCAUGGUGGGGGUUGGAAAGUUUCGGCGGUUGGGGAUGGACUCGCGGCUUAUCAGCUUGUUGGUGGGGUAGUGGCUUACCAAGGCUUUGACGGGUAGCCGGCCUGAGAGGGUGACCGGCCAAGAGGGGGCUGGGGUAGGGCCGGGACGCACCAGGGGGGGAGGGGGGGGGAAGGUGUCAAAAGGGGGGGAGCGCGGGUGGGGCAACGCCGGGGGGGGGAGGGCGGCCAUCGGGGUGUAAACCGUUUUCGCCUGGGACGAAGGGGGAGGGAGGGUAAGGGGGAAAGAAGGACCGGCAAAUUAGGU
rnacentral:rRNA from 1 species